AAAAAGGGCUUCUGUCGUGAGUGGCACACGUAGGGCAGCUCGUUUGCUCUACGUGCGGAAUCGACAUCAAGAGAUUUCGGAAGCAUAAUUUUUGCUAACGGGGCAGCUGGUGAUCGUUGGUCCUGGCGCCCCC
ensembl:snRNA